UUUAACAUCAUUUUGGACCAUCAUGGCAAGGGGAAACAUUGAAUUAUGUAACUAGAAAGCCACCAACAAUUUUGAGAAAACCUACUUCAAUGCUGAGCCACAGGGCCAUUACUACAAAAGUGAGGGGGCAUUACACAUU